UACGUAGGGCGCAAGCGUUGUCCGGAAUUAUUGGGCGUAAAGAGCUCGUAGGCGGUCUGUCGCGUCUGCCGUGAAAACCCGAGGCUUAACCUCGGGCUGGCGGUGGAUACGGGCAGGACUAGAGGUAGGGUAGGGGAGAAUGGAAAUUCCCGGUGUAGCGGUGAAAUGCGCCAGAUAGUCGGGAGGAACGACCGGUGGCGAAGGCGGUUCUCUGGGCCUUACCUGACGCUGAGGAGCGAAAGCGUGGGGAGCGAACAGG
rnacentral:rRNA from 1 species